UGGGGAAUAUUGCGCAAUGGGCGAAAGCCUGACGCAGCGACGCCGCGUGAGGGAUGAAGGUUUUCGGAUCGUAAACCUCUGUCAGAAGGGAAGAAACCGCACUGUGCUAAUCAGCAGUGCCUUGACGGUACCUUCAAAGGAAGCACCGGCUAACUCCGUGCCAGCAGCCGCGGUAAUACGGAGGGUGCAAGCGUUAAUCGGAAUUACUGGGCGUAAAGCGCACGUAGGCUGCUUUGUAAGUCAGGGGUGAAAUCCCACGGCUCAACCGUGGAACUGCCUUUGAUACUGCUUAGCUUGAAUCCGGGAGGGGGUGGCGGAAUUCCAGGUGUAGGAGUGAAAUCCGUAGAUAUCUGGAGGAACAUCAGUGGCGAAGGCGGCCACCUGGACCGGUAUUGACGCUGAGGUGCGAAAGCGUGGGGAGCAAACAGG
rnacentral:rRNA from 1 species